ensembl:snRNA U6 U6 spliceosomal RNA
GUGCUCGCUUCAGCAGCACAUACACUAAAAUUGGAACGAUACAGAGAAGAUCAGCACGGCCCCUGCGGAAGAAUGACAUGCAAAUUCAUGAAGCGUUCCAUAUUUUU